UACAGAGGGUGCGAGCGUUAAUCGGAAUUACUGGGCGUAAAGGGCGCGUAGGUGGUUAUUUAAGUCAGAGGUGAAAUCCCCGGGCUUAACCUGGGAAUUGCCUAUGAAACUGAAUAGCUAGAGUGCGGGAGAGGGAAGUGGAAUUUCCGGUGUAGCGGUGAAAUGCGUAGAUAUCGGAAGGAACACCAGUGGCGAAGGCGACUUCCUGGCCCGUUACUGACACUGAGGCGCGAAAGCGUGGGGAGCGAACAGG
rnacentral:rRNA from 1 species